UACGUAGGGGGCAAGCGUUGUCCGGAUUCAUUGGGCGUAAAGAGCGUGUAGGCGGCCAGGUAGGUCGGUUGUGAAAACUGGAGGCUCAACCUUCAGAGGUCGACCGAAACCAUCUGGCUAGAGUCCGGAAGAGGAGAGUGGAAUCCUGGUGUAGCGGUGAAAUGCGCAGAUAUCAGGAAGAACACCUAUGGCGAAGGCAGCUCUCUGGGACGGUACUGACGCUGAGACGCGAAAGCGUGGGGAGCGAACAGG
rnacentral:rRNA from 1 species